GUAAGUGAGGGCAAGCCUUCUGGGUUCCUACCAUCCCAGGCGGCCUCAGCUCUCACU
ensembl:miRNA Mir5617 microRNA 5617